AAAUGCUGUAAUCAGCGGGCUACAUGAAAAAUUACUCUAAUUAUGGCUGCAUUUAAGAGAAUGGAAAAAAACCUUCUUGUGGAUAAAAACCUUAAAUUGUCCCCAAUGUCUGCUUCAAAUUGGAUGGCACUGCAGCUGGAGGCUUUGUUCAGAAUUGAUCCUGGGGAGCUCUGAACCCAAAGUUUCACAGUGGGAAGGGGAAAAAAAGAAAAGAAAACAUUUUUCCUAAUGUAACAAUACGAAUGGUAGAAAAUGACAAGACUGAUCGGUUUUAAACCACUCUGAAGACUGACUGAGCGUGGAAGUUGCUCAAAAAAAAAAAACAAAAACACCCCCCAAAAAACUGGUAUGUUGCUGAUGCCCACUCUCCCUUGAAAUGUCUUGUCUGGCAGCAACACCUACACAUAUCACAAGAACUUUUUGCUGAGUUAUUCGACAAUAUCUGAUUGAUUGUCGUCUUUGGAGAGAGAGGAUCUGGUGGAACCAUGGAGUUUUCCUGACAAGCCUUGCCAACACACCUCGGUUGAAACUGAAAGGGCUCACUGGACAGUCCCAGUUCAUCCCAUGUCCAUUUUCUCCUGGUUACACCCACCAGAAGACUGUGACAAUUGGUCGGAAUUAGAGAAGGAAAAGUGCCAUUGUAUUUGACACUAGGCUGGACUCAGGAGAUGUUGUUCAGUCACUGGGUGUGUCUCAAACUGCUGGGUGACCUCGGCUGCCAUGGAAAAUGACCAGAAAUCUACAAUCUGAGAAAACCCAUCCAUCAUCUUCAGGCAGUCUUCCAAUCUGUUAACUUUAGCUGCUACUAAUAAGUGUCUCAGUCCAGGAAAAGCAAUUAUUAUGAUGUUUCACAGAAUAGCUUCCAGAUAGCAUAUGAUGUAAACUGCUCUUGGGCAACAUUUCUUCUAAGGAAGCAGCCCUUUUUUUUUCUUCAGUAAGCAACUUCACCAAUGCAAGUGUGAUAAAAACAGAGGUAAAGAAGAAGAGCUGUUGAAAAUUGGGAUUGACUGUUGCUGCUGUGGCCAUUUACACCUUCCAAAGAGCUGGGUCACAAUGCGUUGUAAAGCCCUUGUUACAGGUUUGAUCAGCGUGCAGACUCUUUCAGUAGGGAUGAGAGAUAUUACACGUGAUUGAUAUGUCAUCACUGACAUGUCACAUCACACAGGGCCAAAUCAGGCAUCCUGUUUGGCUGGAGGUUCACAUCUGGAAAGUGAUAUUUCACCAACUGUCUAACAUACACAGCCAGCAAUGUAGAACAAGCCCAAACUCAGUGCAUUAGCAUCUCUGUUUUUGAUUCUUGCUAUUUUGAGGCCCAUAAUAAAAAUGCAGCAUCAUUGUAGGUUGCUGCCUGCAGUCAGUGCCCUGAUCAGUAUGCUUGCAUGUGGCAACCACUUUCAUUUUUUUCAGUGGUAUGUCUCCACAACAUGUGGACAUGCUGCAGUGGCAGAGGGAGCUGCCGCUGGUGAGCGUCACUGUUAAGAUGUUGGCUGGCCUGGAGAGAUGGAGGCCUCUCCAAGGUAGUAAUGGACCGUUGUUAGGUGACUUAGGUGGAUAUCCUGCAGAUGUGACAGGCCAGUGGAUGAACUCAACUGAGCAACAGAGAGCUGCUUCUUAGAGAAGGGGAAACCAAAAGAGGAGAGGGUCAAAGGAUCAGUGUAUAUUUUAUCUAGGACUACCUUCACUGCAGCCUGAUUUCUGUAAUGAGUGACCUCUGGUGAGAGAUGGGGAAGGAGAAGUUGACAACUCAUCUGUGACAACAAACAUACAUCAGUAAAGCUCUACUUUAGGAUCUUAGAGCCAAUGCAUUUAGGAUCGGUCAGACAAUCAUAUGGUGGCAUCUCACAAAACCUCUCUGAUAGUUUCAGGUGUUGGUUGAUAACACACCUCUUUAUUGAAAGUUGCUUACUACUAGUUCCUGGCUGUUCCUCACACAUCCUUGUAAGCAGAAGUUAGCUCAUGAGUAACUUUGGAAUCAAUUCAAUCUGCCCUGCUAGACUCCUUGAUCUUGAUGGCUGUUGUUAGCAGGUGACAUUCAGCAUGCUUCCAGACACCCAUCUACCUCAUCAGACUGAAUGACUUGUCUUUUCAGUUCCACUUCUGUAGCAUAUUAUAGAUCGUCUUGACGUGUUUGGAUUUCUGAUUGCAGGCUUGCUUUCUGAUCCUUGAAGAAUUUAACACUAAGCGGAAAGCACGGUCUGGAUUCCUUCUGAAAAUUUCAGAUUAAUGUGUUAGAUCUUUCUUCAUAAUGUGUAAUCCAAACCUAGAUAUCCAUUUACCUCCCAAGCAAAAUUUUGGCCUUCAAUGUUAUAGUUAAGUUGUUUGGUAGGAGAAAUAGGAUCAACAGGACCAUGGUAUACAUACAAUCUUUGCCAGGCUUAAAAGCAGCUGUUCAAUAUAUCAAGGUGUUUGCUUUAAAUCAUCAAAGCUGUUUUGGCCAGCAGAUGUGCAUCCAUACAAACAUAUAUAUAUUCUUAAAAUAUGUGUAGGCAUUCAGCCUAACAUAUAUAUAUAUGUGUGUGUGUUCCUUAUAUAUAUUACUUGGAUAUAAUUUGUACGUUAAUUCCUCCUAAUAAAUAUGUAAAAUUCCUUCUUACAUAUACAUAUACAUACAUAUAUACAUGUUCCUCCUCAAUAUGUCCUCUUGCCUUUAAUUGUUGAAGACUGAUAGAUGCCAGCAAACAAUCUGGGUUUGAUGUCUAGUAAAAGGGUAAGAUACAUUGCCGAAAGGUCAGCAGUUGCAGUUUGAGAAUUCUUGGCCCCUUGGACACCCUGCAAAUAAGUGCCUGGAAAGGCUGAUCUUGCCAUAAGGCUUGUGAGCUGAUCGGAGUUUGGCUACAGGAAGGUUUAUGCUCUGUGCAAGUCAUAGGCAGUUUAAAAUACUCAUCGCCUUAGUUACACGUCCUUUGUUCUCUUGGGCAGUAGUUCUACUAUAGUGAGAUGGAAGAUGUUAAAAUUAACUAUUUUCCCUGGGAUAGGGGGAAUGAGAGCUGCUGCCUUACCAGGUGUUUUUUUGCUUCAUGUGAACUGUUUUUGGGCAUAACUGAUGUAAUGUAUUAAAAUGUGAUCAUGAAAUUGUGAGCAGGAAACAUGUAGUGAUAACUGCUUGAUUCCUGACAGCAUGAUGCUAUCUGUAAUGACGAGAAAGGUGAAAAUAAAAAUUGCGUUUCCUAUGUGACAGAUGCUGUGUAGAACUAACAGAAAGUCCAAUAGUCAGAUGAUUUCAAGGCUAGAAAUUAUUGCAAGCCUAGUGAACUGAAAAAGUGCUACUUCUUACUGUCUAUUAUAGCAGAAGAGUCUUUUAAUUUAAUAUGUAAAUUAAGAUGUGCAUGAGCAACAAAUAUUAAUUUAAAGUCACGCUUUGCCAUUAAUUUGAAACCAGAAAUCAUCACUGCUUUCCCAGAGACAUUCAUUUUCAGUGAAAGUGACUCUGGUCUCUCCGGCAUGUCUCUUUUAUGUUAUUUUACAGCAAUGUGCUCAGCCUGUAAAGUACAAACUAUUAAUGAAUAUACAUUUUUUUCAUCCUGAUAUUCAUUUUUUUGUAUAAGACAGUCUUGUUUCCUCAAUCUUUUCAGACCUAUUACUCAGUUUAUGUGCAUAACACGUCUUUGACAGUUCUAUAUCUCUUCCUAAAGCAAAAAGUCAGAGGAUAAAAAAAGGUAUUCUUAUGUCUAAGUGAAAAUGGCUCUGAUCUAGAUGCCACUAAAGCACAAAUAUAACAGUGCAUAUUAAAAAAUAAUAAACAAAUCACUCUAUGCAGAAGACAACAUUCCAGACGUGCCAGAUUGUAUUCAAGUUCAUACGAGCCUUUUAUCUGACUAAUUUACCCUCCUGAGAGGUAUGGGAAAAUGGGUGGCAUUUUUUCAGUUUUGUACUUUGCAACUUAGUGAGGUCCCCAAAUUAAUAUUUCCUUACAUUCUUCCUUUGUACUCACUGUAUUUGUCAGAAGAGUUGUGUGAAUGAAAAUAGAUCUGAAUUCUGCAUUGCUUUUGGGGGUUGGUUCAAAGAGGGUUGGCAGCUAAAGAAAGAUCUCACCAGAGACUUCCAUGACUUCUAGUCAAAUCAUUAAUGAAGACCUUUAGAACAUUUUGGUCUUCUGCCUUUCUGAAGAGAAAUAAUGAUCCUACUUUUGAAAAAGGUUUUGAAAUUGCCAGGGAUGUAGCUAUUAAUCACUGUUAUACCUCCUUACAAGCAGUAAGAAAUGAAAUACUGUUUAACAGAAAGACUCUGUUUUAUUAUAUUUACAACAAUGGAACUGGAAUAUAACCUUUUUAUUUAAAAAUCAAGCCACAGAUUAAGUUUUGAUUGCAGUAUUUUGUACUGAAAAUAAGAAUAAUGGAAGCAAUUAAGUAUUCAUAGUUGGGCUCUCAUACAAACACCUUCCAUGGUGAGCCUGUUUGUGCAACUGAGUGUGCCAUACAAUUGUUUUUAUUACCUUCUUAUAAAACAGCCUGUAUAAAACACUUCUUUUUUGAUUGUUUCUUUGUGUAUUGUUGAGCAUGUUUGCAUUCUAAAAGGCUUUGCCUCAUUAAAGCAAUUGCUAUAAA